rnacentral:rRNA from 1 species
UGCCAGACUCCUACGGGAGGCAGCAGUGGGGAAUAUUGCACAAUGGGGGAAACCCUGAUGCAGCAACGCCGCGUGAGUGAGGAAGUAUUUCGGUAUGUAAAGCUCUAUCAGCAGGGAAUAGAAAAGAAGGUACCUGAAAAAGAAGCCCCGGCUAACUACGUGCCAGCAGCCGCGGUAAUACGUAGGGGGCAAGCGUUAUCCGGAUUUAUUGGGUUUAAAGGGUGCGCAGGCGGCGUGUCAAGUCAGCGGUAAAAUGUCGGGGCUCAACCCCGGCCGGCCGUUGAAACUGGCGUGCUCGAGUUGGAGAGAAGUAUGCGGAAUUCGUGGUGUAGCGGUGAAAUGCAUAGAUAUCACGAAGAACCCCGAUUGCGAAGGCAGCAUACCGGCUCCACACUGACGCUGAGGCACGAAAGCGUGGGUAUCGAACAGGAUUAGAUACCCUUGUAU